ACCCUGUAGCGCAAUGGAUAGCGCGCGUUGGACUUCUAAUCCAAAGGUUAUGGCUUUGAAUCCUGCCUGGAAUG